GCCGGGCAUGGUGGUAUGUACCUGUAAUCCCAGCUACCUGGGAGGCUGAGGCAGGAGGAUCGCUUGAGCCCAGGAAUUUGAGAUUACAGUGAGCUAUGAUUAUGCCCAUGAAUAGCCACUAUGCUCCUGCCUGGGCAACACAGGGAGACCUCAUCUCUA
rnacentral:SRP_RNA from 1 species